CGUAAAGAGCUCGUAGGUGGUUUGUCGCGUUGUUCGUGAAAUCUCACGGCUUAACUGUGAGCGUGCGGGCGAUACGGGCAGACUAGAGUACUGCAGGGGAGACUGGAAUUCCUGGUGUAGCGGUGGAAUGCGCAGAUAUCAGGAGGAACACCGGUGGCGAAGGCGGGUCUCUGGGCAGUAACUGACGCUGAGGAGCGAAAGCGUGGGGAGCGAACAGGAUUAGAUACCCUGGUAGUCCACGCCGUAAACGGUGGGUACUAGGUGUGGGUUUCCUUCCCUUGGGAUCCGUGCCGUAGCUAACGCAUUAAGUACCCCGCCUGGGGAGUACGGCCGCAAGGCUAAAACUCGAAGGAAUUGACGGGGGCCCGCACAAGCGGCGGAGCAUGUGGAUUAAUUCGAUGCAACGCGAAGAACCUUACCUGGGUUUGACAUGCACAGGACGCGUCUAGAGAUAGGCGUUCCCUUGUGGCCUGUGUGCAGGUGGUGCAUGGCUGUCGUCAGCUCGUGUCGUGAGAUGUUGGGUUAAGUCCCGCAACGAGCGCAACCCUUGUCUCAUGUUGCCAGCGGGUAAUGCCGGGGACUCAUGAGAGACUGCCGGGGUCAACUCGGAGGAAGGUGGGGAUGACGUCAAGUCAUCAUGCCCCUUAUGUCCAGGGCUUCACACAUGCUACAAUGGCCGGUACAAAGGGCUGCGAUGCCGUAAGGUUAAGCGAAUCCUUUUAAAGCCGGUCUCAGUUCGGAUUGGGGUCUGCAACUCGACCCCAUGAAGUCGGAGUC
rnacentral:rRNA from 1 species